UCGGUGGGGGAUCAGUGGCGAACGGGUGAGUAACACGUGGGCAACCUGCCCCCGGCUCUGGGAUAACUCCAAGAAAUUGGGGCUAAUACCGGAUAUGACCGCUGGCCGCAUGGUCGGUGGUGGAAAGUUUUUCGGCUGGGGAUGGGCCCGCGGCCUAUCAGCUUGUUGGUGGGGUAGUGGCCUACCAAGGCGACGACGGGUAGCCGGCCUGAGAGGGUGACCGGCCACACUGGGACUGAGACACGGCCCAGACUCCUACGGGAGGCAGCAGUGGGGAAUAUUGCGCAAUGGGCGAAAGCCUGACGCAGCGACGCCGCGUGGGGGAUGACGGCCUUCGGGUUGUAAACCUCUUUCAGCAGGGACGAAGCGCAAGUGACGGUACCUGCAGAAGAAGCACCGGCCAACUACGUGCCAGCAGCCGCGGUAAUACGUAGGGUGCAAGCGUUGUCCGGAAUUAUUGGGCGUAAAGAGCUCGUAGGCGGUCUGUCGCGUCGGCUGUGAAAACCCGGAGCUCAACUCCGGGCCUGCAG
rnacentral:rRNA from 1 species